AGGUAAAAGCAGAUCAAAAUAGCAAGAAUCUGGGAAAGCUGCAGCAGUGCUCCCGCAAUGUGAACAUGAUGGCAGCAAAUGUGGUGGCCUCCACAAGAUCAGGUCAAGAACAGAUAGAAGAAAAAGAUACCAUGGACUUUUCUGGAAUGUCUCUCAUUAAACUAAAGAAGGAAGAAAUGGAAAGCCAGGCAGUGGAAGAGAGAGGUGGUGUCUGGUAACUAUAAAAGAAAGUAUACAAAGCGAUUGUCUGAGCUAGUGAUUGUGUGUCUA